GCGGGUGUAGUUCAGUGGUAGAACGUCAGCUUCCCAAGCUGAAUGUCGUGGGUUCGAAUCCCAUCAUCCGCU
rnacentral:tRNA from 3 species